AUUGAACGCUGGCGGAAUGCUUUACACAUGCAAGUCGAACGGCAGCACGGGGCAACCUGGUGGCGAGUGGCGAACGGGUGAGUAAUACAUCGGAACGUGCCCAAUCGUGGGGGAUAACGUAGCGAAAGUUACGCUAAUACCGCAUACGAUCUACGGAUGAAAGCGGGGGAUCGCAAGACCUCGCGCGAGUGGAGCGGCCGAUGUCAGAUUAGGUAGUUGGUGGGGUAAAGGCUCACCAAGCCAACGAUCUGUAGCUGGUCUGAGAGGACGACCAGCCACACUGGAACUGAGACACGGUCCAGACUCCUACGGGAGGCAGCAGUGGGGAAUUUUGGACAAUGGGCGCAAGCCUGAUCCAGCCAUUCCGCGUGCAGGAUGAAGGGCCUUCGGGUUGUAAACUGCUUUUGUACGGAACGAAAAGCUUCUGGUUAAUACCUGGGAGUCAUGACGGUACCGUAAGAAUAAGCACCGGCUAACUACGUG
rnacentral:rRNA from 1 species